AAGAAUUUUGUUUUGCAUCAGCCAGAAAACCACCCACCCAAAUCCUCCGCCCGAACUCUUUCCUCUGCCCCCGCUCCUGUCGAUGCUGAUACACCCAAUCCCAACCCACUUCCGAUGCUCAUAUCCCUCGGCUCUCCCCUUCUCCCUCCCCACACUCCAAUCAGUCGCCCCCAGCGUGGCCAGCUCCAUCUCCGCCCUGCCGAGGAGGAGAGCCUCCCCCGUCAAGAGCAGCGACGCGACCGAGGAAGCGGCGUUGCUCGUCCACCAAAUCCUACGUAAGUCUGGCGAACGGAACCAACCCAUGGUGGUCAGGUCACGAUCAGCAAGUUCGUGAGGGUCGUUCGCACCGAGCACUUCUUCCUGCUCUUCCAGGAGCUCGGGAAUCGCGAUCGCUGAUUCCAGUACCUAGAGGCGAUUCUCCAUUUUAGAUUUGGCGUUUCGUGGAUUUUCAAAUAGGCAACAAGAAGAAGAGCAGAGGGAUCUCAAUUGACUCGCCUUGAUGAGAUGCAUCAGUUCAAUGCCGGCUCCUUUAAAAUGCCUCGACGAGAUACAUCAGGUUGAGGUUGUCCGGAGCAGUUCCAGUCGCUAGUCCCCAUUGCACGUAGUGCUUGUCCUCUG